rnacentral:rRNA from 1 species
CGUGAGCGGCGGACGGGUGAGUAACGCGUGGGUAACCUGCCUCGAUACAGGGGAGUAACAGUUGGAAACGGCUGCUAAUACCGCAUAAGCGCACAGUACCGCAUGGUAACGGUGUGAAAAACUCCGGUGGUAUGAGAUGGACCCGCGUCUGAUUAGGUAGUUGGUGGGGUAACGGCCUACCGAGCCGACGAUCAGUAGCCGACCUGAGAGGGUGACCGGCCACAUUGGGACUGAGACACGGCCCAA